UUAAAUAGGAAAUUUCUAACCUUGUGUCAAAUUCAUUUCUAGGUUCACGAAAAGACUUGUAUGCAGGAUCUAAUUUUGGAUUAAUUUGAUCUACAGUUCACAAUUGUUUUUAUGGUGAUGCUCAGAAAAUGGCUUCUCCUUCCAGACUCUGAUACAAGCAUUGAGUGAUUUUUCCUAUAAUGAAUUCAAAUACCAUGGGGUAAGAAUGACAUCCAGACUCUUUAAAAGUUGUUGAAGAGAAGCACUACCUGCCGUGGAAAUGAAAUAGAAACGUCCCAUGAUUUCUGUAAUGGAAACUGAUAAAGAAAUGGCAAAUUCAUAAAUGCCUCCACAUAGCCUAACUUCAGUGCUGCCACCAAUGUUCUGAGAUAUGCUUCCUUCCUAUGGCCAUUACAGUACAGAGUGUGCAAAUUUCUCAUCUUCUUCUAAGGUCUCAGAAUCAAGAAAAAAUAACCUUUUAAAUUGCGAUGAUGGGCCAUGAAAUAAAGUGAAUUAACCUGGUGCAAUGGAGGAAUGAUUGACUACCUUGGCAUGAACAGCUGAAGGACAGACAAGGAAAUAAAGGAAAAAAUAAAAUUUGUAGUUUAGAGACAAGUAGUCCAACAGACUGGGAAAAGGGCCAAGGAAAUUUAAAAGGGAAAAACAGAAAACAAGACAAAUAAACGAAAAGGCCAAAAACCACUUAGGAAUUCAUGAUGCCAAAGCAAGUAGCAGUGCUGGUGGCACAGCUGGCACAUAGCAGAGAACAAGACACCAGAAGUGGUAACGUCCUCAGCAGCCAGCGCUCGUCUGUGUGGCAGCAGGCAGCAGGCACCCUGCCUCCAAACGUGUUAGCAGGCUCUGUUCCUCUUGUACUCAUCCUGCUGAAGCAAAAUGGACGGUCUUCAUCCCUGCUCGCAGCCACGUCCCACCCACCCAGGACCCGGGGCAGCACGGCGUUCGAGGCUUGGGGAGCAGCACCCGCCUGCCGCGCACGCUCACUGCUCCUCGGGCUCAGUUCAACACUGGAAUGUGUCACUUGAUAGACCUUGCAAGUUCAGAAACUCCUUAAUUUUGACAUGGUGUUAAGUUUAUUACAAUCUGGUGAAAUAAGUCACUACCAAAUCCAUAGCUCUGCCCUCCUCCUUUCCCAUAUGUUUUCAUGAGCAAAGUGAAAAGUUUAACCUUUCACAUAACAGUCCUUUUAAAAAAUGUGCAGUGCUAGAGCAAUACAAUAUGUCCAUGGUAUGAAAGGACACAGUUCUAGGGUAACUGUUGCCUUUAGCUAGCAGUAACAAAUCACAAGCCCUUUAAACGAAAGCCCAAUCUAUUAAAAGUACUGUUGUGCUAGGGGGCCAGCAGACCAAGGUAAUAUAAAAAAUCUAGGGUUUGCUACUGCAGAAGUACUGAGACCUCUUGAAAUCUGAGUAUCCCUGAACCCUUUGAUUUAAAAAGGAGCCUGAGAAGUUUAACCCUUCAUAGAACCUGUGCAGAAAUUUUCUAUCUUGGAUCUGGGAUAAGGCAUAUACCCAAUGGCCUCAAAGAGUUUCUAGCUGGGUUAAAGUCUCCAGACCGGGACUUUUAAUUUUGAAUUUUAAGAAUCACAUUGUAUAAAUAAUUUUGUUUGCAGGUUUGUUCUUUCCAAGGCUUUUAGUAGUAGUCAUCUGAACAAUCACUAUCUAUAAGAAGAUACUGCCAAAUAAUAUUUAUUCCUUUCUACAGCUGGGUGGGGAUAUAUUUUAUCCUGACAUAGGCAUGUGUUUAGGCUCCAUUAUCUCCUGCCCUUGUGGCUAAAACUAUAGUCCAAAAGGUAGAUAUUCUCAGAUUUUCAGUUGAAGUACAGUAAUUCGUUUGCAAUCUUAUCCACUAAAUUCAAAGACACCUUUUUCUGCUUGUUACAAAAUUGGCAACCAUCCUCAAUUUAAUGACACCCUUCCAUUGAUUUCAAUGGCUUUUGGAUCAGGCCCUCGCAAUGCAGGGUAUGUGGAUUAUUAUUUUUUCACAUUACCCUGAACAGUGAAGUAUGAUUACAAUGUUCUGUGAGUGCUUUAGUGAGGAAAGAGGCAUAAUAAAAUACUGAAUGUGAUUUAUUAAAGAAAAUCUUUGUCCUGUUUUAAUAGGAAUCUGAGGUUUUAUACCUAAAGCACAUAAAACUAUUCAGGUGUUAAGGCUGGAAGAACUCCUGACCCACAGUCACAGAAAUGUAGGACUUUGGCUGUCAAUGAAAUGUACUGAUAACCAGAUGAAAGGAUCUGACCUUUUUUCCAGAUGACUGUUAGUUCAUAUGCAUUAGACAAGCACCCAUAUACUGAGUGAUCCUGAUCAGGGAUUCAUCUGCUACCUUGAAUCAUACUACUGCU